rnacentral:rRNA from 1 species
AAUCAACGCUGGCGGCGUGCCUAACACAUGCAAGUCGAGCGAGAAAAGGGAGCAAUCCCUGAGUACAGCGGCGCACGGGUGAGUAACACGUGGGUAAUCUGCCUCGGAGUGGGGAAUAACACCGGGAAACCGGUGCUAAUACCGCAUACGAUCACGAUGUCUGCGGACGUUGUGAUGAAAGGCGCAAGUCGCUCUGAGAGGAGCCCGCGGCUGAUUAGCUAGUUGGUGGGGUAAUGGCCCACCAAGGCAACGAUCAGUAUCCGGUCUGAGAGGACGGUCGGACACACUGGAACUGAGACACGGUCCAGACUCCUACGGGAGGCAGCAGUGGGGAAUUUUUGGCAAUGGGGGCAACCCUGACCAAGCAACGCCGCGUGGGUGAUGAAGUCUCUUGGGACGUAAAACCCUUUCGACGGGGAAGAAACCGCAAGGUUGACGGUACCCGUAGAAGAAGCCCCGGCUAACUCCGUGCCAGCAGCCGCAGUAACAC